UUGUACCUUGUUUUGUCCAAUUUAGCUGUCAUCUCUCAGAGGCCUGCUCUUUUCUGAAGGAAAAUGGAGGGGUAACCAAAUGUAAAGUGAAACAAACGCUUUUCUCAAGUGAUAAUUUCUGGUGGAAUCAAGACGACUGUGGUUUGUCUUCCCACACCUACCAAGAUGACUCCUCAAAACUCACAUCCUCCAUAAAUCCAUCUCAGAUUGAUCAGAAAGAGAUUAAUGAUUUCUCCUGGACCCAAUUUAUCUCAGCCUUGAAGUCUAAGCUCUACUCCCCUUGGUCUUCAACCCUAGCAAAAAUUUUACACUUGAUUUCUUUCCAACUUGCAAAUGAUUAGAACUAAAUAUGAAUGCUUUUUCUGUCUCUGUAUGCAUUGAGCAUCAUUUAAAUUAUACUGUGUAAAUACUUUCAUCUUUUUUCCAUAGCAUCAAAAUAUGGACUUUAUCAAAAUCUUUGAGAGACAGGAAUCUUUAGAUGGUACAUGAUCAACUUUAUGUAGCAAAACUCUAUCAAUUUAUUUACAAGACAAAAAAUCCUUACUGUGAAUUAGGAACUCAGUUGAACUAUUGAGAAUAUGAAACUUAGUGAUACAUGCUCAAUGCCCUUAGGAUGUUGGAUUUACGGAUGCCAGGGUACAGUAUGUAGUCAAUUGUGUAUCAGCUUUUAUUAGAUAAUGUUACAGUUACAAACACCCCUGAAUGUUACUAUUCAGCUGUAUUUAGCAUAUUAAAUGUACAUCAGGUGGCUAUGCAUUCAUUAUGGAUUUACCCUCUCUAUAUAUUUCCACUGAAAAAUCGAUUGCUAAAAAGAAGCCUUUUGGUCAAACAUGUCAUUUUUAUAUGAAAGAAUACAGGUGAAGUGAGAAUUUCUGGUUUUGUGAGAGACUUAGUUGUGAUAUGUGAUGCUUCUCUGGAAACUGUCUUAUGAGAUGUUUUGCUGAGAACAGAUGUGGAGUUUUUCUGGAAGCUGCCUGGUGAAAGAGUACGUGAUGCUUGAAAAGGGUAUAAGAAGAACCCAACAGACAGUGGACAAUGUCUCCCAUUUGUUCACAGUGCAACUUUUUGCUAUUUUCAUUGGGCUUUGCUGAGGCUGGGAUUUGCUGACAACACUCUUGCAUUGGUUCACCUUUCUGAUCAUCACUUGUCACGACAUCAUAAAGAGAAAUGCACUAAAGAACUCUGGUAUCCCAGCUGCUUCCUGCCGCUUCCAAGUACUCCUGUGAAUCAGCAAUCAGCGGAGUGUUGUGGUUGCUUUUGAAUGGAGCCACUGCUGCUGAUUCCUGUUUGGUGUCUCUCUAAUGGAAUGAACUCCUGACAGUGAAGAUUGGAAUCGUUCUAGAAAACUAUUUCUAAACAGGUCAACAAUCCCUGUUUCCUAUUAACCUUUCUUUUUCUCUAACUGGUAGGUGGUGGACUAGGAGGGAAGUCAUUAAAGAACCAUAAUUAAAGUAAGUUU
ensembl:lincRNA Gm16294 predicted gene 16294